rnacentral:ncRNA from 1 species
AAAAACAAGAGUUUGAUCCUGGCUCAGAACGAAUGUUGGUUAUAUGCUUAGCAAAUGCAAGUUGAAUGUAGCUUGCUUCCCCAUCCAUCCAUGUGGGGGCAGAAGGGCAAGAGGAAUGACCCCCUCCUAGCACGUUCUCAAUCACUCAAAUGAUAUGCAAGUGGUGCGUCAGGCAUGGGGCACAACAAGCAAAGUGGAAAAUGGGUGCAUAACGCGUGCGAAUCUGUUGAACAGUGCGCUCAAAAUCCUUAAUAAUUCAUAAAGCAAGCUAAUUUGCAUUGUUUGAAGAGCCUGCGUAGUAUCAGGUAGUUUUUUAGGUAAAGGAUGACCAAUCCAAUGAUGCUUAGUUGGUCAUUUCGGAUAAUCAGCCACACUAGGACUGAGACACAGACCAAAAUCCCUCAAGGGGAAGUAGUGGGGAAUAUUGGACAAUGGUCUCAUGCUCGAUCCAAUAGUAUCACGUGGGUGAAGAAGGGCAUUGUCACUUGUCAAGAUAUUUCAUUGAGUUUCGAUCAUGACAAGACUUGAGGAAGAAGCCUUGGCUAAAUCCAUGCCAGCAACCAUGAUAAGAUAGGGGGGAAGUGUUAUUCGAAGUGACUGGGCGUAAAGGGCACGUAGGCAGUGAAAAGGGUGGAAAGUGAAAGUCACCAAAGCACCAACUGGGUUCUUUCUUGACCAUUUCACUUGAGUGAGAUAAGGGAGAGUGGAAUUUCAUGUGGAGGGAUCAAAUCCUAAUAUAUACGAAGAAACACCAACUCUGAAGGCAUCUCUCUGGGUCCCCAAUGAUGCUGGGGUGCAAAAGCAUGGGGAUCAAACAUGAUUAGAUACCCUAGCAGUCUAUGCCAUAAGCGAUGAGUGUUCAUCCUUGUUCUUCCUUCCUACUAGGUAGGAUUAGGAUCAGGGGCCUAGCUAACGUGUGAAACACUCCAUUUGGGGAGUACGGUCGCAAGACUGAAACUCAAAGGAAUUGACGGGAGCCUGCACAAGUGGUGGAGCAUGUGGUUUAAUUCACUAAAAUGCAUAGAACCUUACUAGCCCUUGGCAUAUGAAAAAUUGUGCCUGUCCCUAAUGGGAUGGUGUGAAAAUUCAUACAGGUGUUGCAUGGCUAUCGUCCGCUCAUGUCGUGAGAUGUUUGGUUAAGUCUUAUAAUGAGAAAACC